CCAGACUCCUACGGGAGGCAGCAGUGGGGAAUAUUGCACAAUGGGGGAAACCCUGAUGCAGCGACGCCGCGUGAGUGAAGAAGUAUUUCGGUAUGUAAAGCUCUAUCAGCAGGAAAGAAAAUGACGGUACCUGACUAAGAAGCCCCGGCUAACUACGUGCCAGCAGCCGCGGUAAUACGUAGGGGGCAAGCGUUAUCCGGAUUUACUGGGUGUAAAGGGAGCGUAGACGGUGAAGCAAGUCUGAAGUGAAAGGCAGGGGCUCAACCCCCGGACUGCUUUGGAAACUGUUUGACUGGAGUGCAGGAGAGGUAAGUGGAAUUCCUAGUGUAGCGGUGAAAUGCGUAGAUAUUAGGAGGAACACCAGUGGCGAAGGCGGCUUACUGGACUGUAACUGACGUUGAGGCUCGAAAGCGUGGGGAGCAAACAGGAUUAGAUACCCCUGUAA
rnacentral:rRNA from 1 species